UAACGUUGAAAAUAUUCUUAAACUAGUGAUCGAUAUCUGUUGGAAAUAUAGUGACAAAUAUAAAAAGUGUUAAUACUGUGCAUACAGCCAUUUGAAGUAACGAGUCAAGUGAUAAUCACAGGACCCUCUUCAUAUUGGAAGUUCUGCGGAAGCGAGGAACAAAUUGCGGAUGCCAAUUCGACCAAAGUGUUGCUCCAUUUGAGGACCAACAGAGGGUCAUUCGAUUAAGGUUCCAAGUUGAUCAUCGAAGAAACGCCUUAGAACGUUCUUUGCACCUGGGUACACUGCCAUAAUUAACCGAGAACGUUCGCAGCACCUCGCCACGAUCGAUUAAUCCGGUAAAUUAAAUAUAUAACACAUCAAUAACAAUCGUGUAUCAUUUUUCUAACAAAUAGAAUCGUGAAAUCAGUAUAUUUGAUACAGCUCUUUCCCCUUUAUCCCUCAAAUCCCUUGAAACAAUCUAUAAACUCACACCCUUCGCCCAGUAGAAAACAAAUAUCCCUCCGCGAAUAAAUAAACGGCGGUCCUAAAGGGUGAAUUACUCUCCCGCGUGAAUUUUUCGCGUAGUAGUAACAAUAAAUAAAAAAAAAAAAGCGCGCGAGACGAGGGAAAUGAUAGAGUUUUAGAGAAAACCGUGUGAUUUUCUGACAGCAAGUAUAUUCACCAAGAUGGCGAGAGUGGUGCUCUACCAAUGGGCUUCGUCGUGACUCUGGCAUUCGAGGUUGCUCGGGGGAAGUAAGGCUGCACGGAGAAUCGCGCGCGUUAAUGUACCACCAACCUGUUCGCCGUGUGACGUCGUUAUUUUGCUGCAGUUUGCCGGCUGUGGUCUCGUUGCUGUUCGAAUUCACUUGUACAUCCGUCAUCUUCUCGGUCGGCGACACCGGGGGCCGUUUUCUCGUUUCGGUGUUGUGUUUCGGGCGAAGGAUCGUGUCAGGUACUCGCCAAGCCAGUCCGCGCACUGCUCGUCACGCUGUUCGUACGCGCGUCGCGGCGGGAAUCGCUGGGAAUACAAAGAGAAAGAGACGAUGGCCCGAUGAUUUCAGUGGAAACACGAUCGGCAAAGUUGAAGGCGAAACGCGCGACACUUGCGACGCGUUUGAACUGACUGGCUCGACCGCCGGCUUUCCGGGAUCACCCGAAGGCCCCACGCCUCGACAUCGGAAAUCGCCGAGCGUUUACGAACCUUUUGCCAUUCGUGCGAUUCUCAGGUGGCCCGGCGCGGUGUCGCGGCCAGACUGCGAGUGCAGUUCAAGCAUCGCGCAUUCACCCUUCCGGCGGAUGGACCGCCACCCCUCGUUCCUUCGUCGAUCCAGCUGAAAAAAAUCACCGAUUCAAUUUUUCCAAGGUUGUCGCGUAGUUAAAAAUAUAAUAUAUCUUAUAUACCGAAACUAGAGUUCCCUCAUUCUGAGUGAAAUUUGAAUUUGUCUCUGAUCAAAAUUACGAUGGCUUAGCAACGAAGAAGCAAGUGGCAUUGUACAAUUAUCCAUGGAGAAAUUAUUGCAAGUACUUUGAAAUGAAAGAGUUAAAUUCUCAGAGGUCGGCUGUGGCUGCAGAAAUAUAUUUGAGAAAAAGAAAGAAUGCAAUUACACCGAUACUGAGCGAAAUGAUUGACGAUAAUCUUCUCGUUGAUCGAUUUCAUCCUUCUGGCAAUCGAGUGAUCAAAUCAAUCUGAUAGUACGUAUAAUUUAUACAGAAACACAGACGUUUUGGAUUUGUACAAAAUAUGUUUUUAUAAUUUUAUUUACAUUAUAAUUAUAUCAUCCGAACAUGUGAAAAUAUAAGACGGACGUACAAAUCGGCAAUUUCUCUCUCUUUUUUUCUCCUUAAGAUUUCCCUGGAAGACUGUCAACAAUGAGAAACUUUUGGCACUCCUCGCUACGAAGGGGUACAAUUUAUUGAAAACGAUAAAUGGUCAAGUAACACCGAUUUCUUUUCAUUCGAUUUCGUACAUCGUUAACAUAGUAUAUAUUAGUAUAUUAUACAUCGUUCUUAUUUAUUGUAAGUACAUAUUAUCUCAACGAUACAGUUCAUCGAGUCAAACAGAUGUGAUUUUAGCGCGUUCUUUGAUUAUUGCAGCAUUUCACGUUAGUUUUCAACGUCUCGUUUAUUAAUUCCCAACCAAACACGACGACGACGAAUGUUGAUUCAAAUCGUCUCUUGUCGUUCUGUGCAAAAAUA